rnacentral:rRNA from 1 species
UACGUAGGGUGCGAGCGUUAAUCGGAAUUACUGGGCGUAAAGCGUGCGCAGGCGGUGAUGUAAGACAGAUGUGAAAUCCCCGGGCUCAACCUGGGAACUGCAUUUGUGACUGCAUCGCUGGAGUGCGGCAGAGGGGGAUGGAAUUCCGCGUGUAGCAGUGAAAUGCGUAGAUAUCUGGAGGAACACCGGUGGCGAAGGCGGCAUCCUGGACCGGUAUUGACGCUGAGGCGCGAAAGCCAGGGGAGCAAACGGG